GAUAAACCAAAGGCAUCCAUGAAGACUUUGCUUCCUUCUUCUAGUAGCUCACAGAGACCAAAGUUGGCGCACAGCACUCUCCUAACACCAAAGACUCUACAAUCCUUCUUCCUGGGAUGUGUGAAAGCACAGAGAGAUGGAGACAUGGCUGCUUGGAAAUUGUCCUUAAAGGAACCACAGAAUCAUCUUUUAGAGCUGAGUGAAUGGUGCCUCUGGAUUGCAUCUGCAACCUCAUGUUCCAGAAUGUUGGCUCCAUGAAGGCAAGGAGUUUUGUCUCUUUGGUUAACUGCUGAUACCAGUGCCUGGAGAUGUUAAGUUGAUGAAAGACCAAGAAAAGCGAGGGAGAAAACUCAAUAUAUUUGAGAACAAAGGCAGCCAUUAACCUUUCCAUCUUGAGAAUCGAAUCUGUAGCCAAAAUCUCAGCAGACAGAGCUACAUAAUGCCAGAUAAAUCUUCUUGCUGAAUGAGAGACCCAUCCUACCAGCACAAACAACAUUUGAACACUCUAGCCCCCAGCCUUACCAGGCUGCCCUCCAUUCUCUACACACAGAGUCUUUGUGGGGACACUCCAGGCCAGUUAUUUCACCAUCCUGAGUCUGGUCCCUGAGGCCCAGGGACAAAUAUUCAGUUCAGGUUUGAAUUGAGGAAAGAUACUACUACCUUGAUGGGGGAUCAGGACCAUAGGACCAAAUUGAACCAGGCAAGACUGAAGGGGCCAAGGGAUAGAGGAUCCCCUUCCCAAAGGAGCCAACUGAAAGGCAACAAUUGGGUGGCCUGUUAGAGAGGAAAGAAGCUUAGGACAAGGAGAAUGCCACUUUCUAGUAUUACAAAAAUAUUCCCUAGGCAAAAUGAGGCCUUUUUUUACUCUGACACUAUUUUUUUUUUUUUUAAACCAACUCUGAAAGAAAAAUGAUAAGGUCAAGGUUGGUCCAGGGAACAGUAGGUAGGGAAGCAGAUGAGAGGUUCAGAGCUCUGGAGUGUGAGCAAGAUACUCUUCUUCUAGGCACCUGAGUUAUCUUCUUUCUAAAUCGGGGCUAAAUGUCCCUUUCCAUGUUUCCUGAGUAGUCAGGGAAGCAACAAACCAGUCAUUAGGAAUUAGAACCAAGAAUCAGAUGGGCCUGGUUUGCAUGCCAAUGGUGUCACUGGCUAGCCGUGCAAGCCACUGCAAGUCUCAGAGUUUUGGUUUGCUUGUGUGUGAAAAUGACAAAUACAGUGCCGGCCUAACAGAAGCAUGGUGAACAUCUGAUGAUGCAAUAUGUGCAAAGUGCUUAACGUAGUUCCUGGCACAAUAUUAAGUACUUCAUAAAUGUUUGCUGUUAUGAUUAUCAAUCAAAACACAGCAGUAAUAAAUUAAGGCAUGUUAUUAGACCUUAGCUUUCCUACCAAUAAAGAACUAGGCAAUAUCAACUGUUCCUUCCAGCUCUGCUGUUUAUCUGAAAAUUCACAACAGACACUCAGUGAUACAGAAAAGAAAUGUGUGCUCCAGACCAUGUGAACUGCAGAAGAGAAUUUGGUUCUCUUCAGCUUCAAUUCACAUUUGGGUUCAUGAGUUUUGCUGCCUUCCUUCUUUUGUCUACAUAUUGACACCUAGGAAAACUCAUGAUGCCAGAGAUCCCUGACACCUGGCUCACAUGGUAGGCUGCAUGAUGAUGGAGCCGAGAGCUGAACCGCCCAAGGACAGAGGGCCUUAGCAGGAACUUUGGGAAUCAGCAUAUUGAUACCUAAGUGGAGACCUCUUUCCAGACCCAGAAACUGGAGCACGCAAGGCCUUGGGGAAAUGAACAGCAAGUUCACAGCCCAAGGUUUCUCUGACUGGUUGGAGAGUCUAAUGUAUUCCAUCAUGCCAUCUAAUUCACAGUCUCCUUGCUUUGACUGUCUGUCUCCUGCUUCUGGUGGCUCUUGCUCAAGAUGUGAAAAGUCAUUAGAGAUGCUUAUUACCAUGGAGUGGAAAAGUCAGGGGGCUUUGAAGCAGAUUACUCAGUUCGAAUCUGGGCUCCCUAACUUUGCUGUUUUGAGCAGGUGGUUUCACGUUUCUAGCCUUGCUUUCUUUAUCUGAAGCAUGAAGCUGAUAAUUUCUACUUUCCAAAGUUGUUUUAUGAGCUUUAACUGAGAUAACUGAUAUACAGUGCCCAGCACAGUUCGUGUAGUGGGUUUUCAAUUAAUGUUCAUUCUGUCCCUUCUUUCCUUAUCAAUAUAAAAAUAACCAAAUCCUAUAUAUUUACUUAACCCUUUAUCUCUUAUUGUAUAAGUUUCAAAUUUUAUAUCUCUAUCA